rnacentral:pre_miRNA from 1 species
CGUGACCUACCCUGUAGUUCCGGGCUUUUGUUUUAACAGCAUUCUAUGUGUUUAGAAAGCAUCUUUUCCGCUUAUCAGAAGCUCGUCUCUACAGGUAUCUCACAG